rnacentral:tRNA from 1 species
CUCCCCAUAGUUCAACGGAUAGAACAAGGGACUCCUAAGCCCUAGAUGUAGGUUCAAUUCCUACUGGGGAGA